GGCCGGGAUGCGGGUGAUGUGCCAAGGUUCGACCUAAACCGGACCGCGUGACUACAGGCUUCGCUGACGUCAUCAUCUCUGGAGCCAUUUUGAAAUGUCCCCGGCGGGUUUCUGGGCUGAGUAGAGAAUGAGGAAUGGGUUCUUCACGGCUAUGCUCUCGUACUGGGUUCUGAUAUCUCGGAGCGCCGCUGUCAGCUCCGGCUUCACCGUGGCCUCCACCUCCACCUGCACUUGCUGGCUCUCCAGGUUCACCUGCAGGUCCCUCAGCUCCUGCCCCCCACGACCACACCCACGUGAGACAGGGAAGCCCCGAGCGCCAGACGGUAGGCAGGUCCAGCUCUGUGUCCUUUCCCUCCCAUGCCACAGGCAUGGUAGUGGAGAGCUGGCGCCAACAGCACAGAACUGCCCUUGCCUCUCCGGCUUGCAGGGGUGCGGUUCUACUGUUCACCACCAGGGGGUGCAUGGGCGUGAGUGAGCGCUUCUCCCCGAAGGGCCCCUCCCGCCUACUAGACCCCUUCUGCCCCACCCCCGCUGGGAACCUUCUCUCUCCUUUCCCCCAUUCUCCUUGGCCCCUGUACCUCCUCAUGGAGUUUCUUGAGGAAUUCUAUCUCAUCCAUCAAGGACUCAAUCUUCCUUUCCAGCUCCAGGCGGGACAGGGUCGCAUCGUCCACAUCCUGGGCGGGGCAGGGGCAGGGGCAGGGCAGUGGCUCGGUCACACCCAGUAACGGUAUGAUGGAGCCCAUACUGCCUCAGAGAUCCGCCCCCCCCAUCCCCAGAAGCCCCUGCCUCUUUGGGGGGGGGCGUUUCUAAUGGCCAGGAGGAGAGGUGCCCACAGUGAUGCCAGCAUCUUGGGGCAUUUCAGAUGGGCUUGGAGGCUCCGCCCUGGGGCCACGCCCUACCUACCUUCCGGAAGAGCACCAGGUUAUUCUCUGCGUCCUCUCGUUUGUGUAUCUCCUCUUCCAGCCUGGCCAGUACAAUAGUGAGGAAGCAUCCCAGGGACAGACAGACACACCCUCCCCUCCAUUCCCCAGGCUACGGGCCCUCAGGAGUGCCUUGGGGUUCUGAUCCCGGGAGCAUAAAGUUAGAGGAAAUGGGAGUGUUCCGCUCAAGGGUCUGUGAAGGGCUGGAGGAGCAGGGAGGAGCGGUUGAAGCACAGAAAGAAUAGGAAUGGCCCUAGGAGACCUGGCAAGGGAAGGUUGAGUGUGCAGGUGGGGUAGCUCGGGGGUGGGGUGAGCGCUCCCCCUCCCAGCUCCAGCGUCUGAAAAGGGGGACUAAGGGCGGUGGCAGAGAGGACCAAGCCACCUAACUCCCAGCCCCUCUCCCUCCCCACCUGGCCUGCUCCUGGGCCCCUCUUCUUCCCUGACCUUUGCUUGAGAGCAGCCAGAUCCUCUGCCAGCCCAUCCCUCUCCACCUGCACUCGGUCACGAUCUCGGCCCAACAGCUCCAGCUCCCUCCGAAGCUCCCGAAGCUCCUGCUGGCACAGCUGGUCGGCCCGGGCCGGCUCCUGGCCUCGGACCUGACUCAGCUCCCCCCGCAGGGCUGCGUUCUGCUGCUCCAGGAACCGAACCUUCUCAAUGAAGCUGGCAAAGCGGUCAUUGAGCUCCUGAAGCUCCUGCUUUUCGUUACUUCUGGUGGCGAGGAACUCCUGGUUCAGGGCCUCGGCCAGGGAGAAAUCAAGGCGUUCUGAGGGUAGGCGCAGGGCACCUACCCCGGCCCGAGGGCCCCGGAAGCUCCCCAGCCGGACCGAGGAGCCAGGGGAUGGGGAGGUGAGCAGGCGGCUGGAAAAGCGGGAACCUGACGAGUAGGAGAAGGAGCCGGGGGACAGGGAGGCUGGUGCCCCAAAGGUGCGGCGGUAGGAGGUGGAAGUGGAGCUGGUCCGAAGGCCUGACAAGUGGCUCAUGAUGGCUGAGCACUCUGGGUCCACGCAGGCAGCCAGGGAAAGACUGCAGAGCCAGAGAGGCCUGGGGGGUGGGGAGGAGAUGCAGAGGGAUCCAGAGGCUGCUUUAUAGCCGCGCUGGGCUGGGGGGGGGGGGGCAGCUCCUCCCACUAGCCUGACUGCUGAGGCUGUGUGGCCAGGGGGCUUCUCUGUCUCCUUUCAGCUUCUGGCCCACAGCUUGCCUUAUCCCUCGGGGCUGGUGGGAGAAGCAGCUUCAGCCACUUGUUCUGGGUUUCUCAUGGUGAAAGUGGUCCACUCAGUAUGCAUUGAGCAGCUCCUCUGUGCCCAGCACUGUGUUGUGUGCCCUCAAGGAAAAGGCAUGUGGGUGGAUGAGCCUGAAAUGUUGUACAGGUGUCUGGCACUGAAAUAAAGAUGGGAGGGGCUGCUGCCGCCCCCCCCCCAACAGGA